GAAAAAAGUCUGCUGACAACAGGAAGCUUCUAACUUCUUAGUUGAGUGGUUGAAAUCCAUUCUUUUUUCU
rnacentral:tRNA from 1 species